rnacentral:rRNA from 1 species
UGCGAGUCAUAUGUUCUUCGUGAACAUGGCGUACUGCUCAGUAACACGUGGAUAACCUGCCCUUGGGGCCGGGAUAACCCCGGGAAACUGGGGAUAAUACCGGAUAACGCAUAUCUGCUGGAAUGCUUUAUGCGUAAAAUGGAUUUGUCUGCCCAAGGAUGGGUCUGCGGCCUAUCAGGUAGUAGUGGGUGUAAUGUACCUACUAGCCUACGACGGGUACGGGUUGUGAGAGCAAGAGCCCGGAGAUGGAUUCUGAGACAUGAAUCCAGGCCCUACGGGGCGCAGCAGGCGCGAAAACUUUACAAUGCGGGAAACCGUGAUAAGGGGACACCGAGUGCCAGCAUCAUAUGUUGGCUGUCCAGAUGUGUAAAAUACAUCUGUUAGCAAGGGCCGGGCAAGACCGGUGCCAGCCGCCGCGGUAACACCGGCGGCCCGAGUGGUGAUCGUGAUUAUUGGGUCUAAAGGGUCCGUAGCCGGUUUGGUCAGUCCUCCGGGAAAUCUGACGGCUCAACCGUUAGGCUUUCGGUGGAUACUGCCAGACUUGGAACCGGGAGAGGUAAGAGGUACUACAGGGGUAGGAGUGAAAUCUUGUAAUCCCUGUGAGACCACCUGUGGCGA